UACGUAGGGGGCAAGCGUUGUCCGGAAUUACUGGGCGUCAAGAGCUCGUAGGUGGUUUGUCGCGUUGUUCGUGAAAACUCACAGCUCAACUGUGGGCGUGCGGGCGAUACGGGCAGACUGGAGUACUGCAGGGGAGACUGGAAUUCCUGGUGUAGCGGUGGAAUGCGCAGAUAUCAGGAGGAACACCGGUGGCGAAGGCGGGUCUCUGGGCAGUAACUGACGCUGAGGUGCGAAAGCGUGGGGAGCAAACAGG
rnacentral:rRNA from 1 species